rnacentral:rRNA from 1 species
AGGACAAACGCUGGCGGAAUGUAUUAGGCAUGCAAGUCGUACGAACCUUCGGGUUAGUGGCGAACGGGUGAGUAACACGUGGGUAACCUGCCUCGUAGUGGGGAAUAACUCGCCGAAAGGCGAGCUAAUACCGCAUAACACCUCUGGUGAGAUUCCAGAUGGUAAAAGCUCCGGCGCUACGAGAGGGGCCCGCGGUCGAUUAGCUAGUUGGUGGGUAACGGCCUACCAAGGCGACGAUCGAUAGCUGGUCUGAGAGGAUGGUCAGCCACACGGGGGACUGAGAUACGGCCCCGACUCCUACGGGAGGCAGCAGCUAAGAAUCUUGCGCAAUGGGCGAAAGCCUGACGCAGCAAUUCCGCGUGGGGACGAAGGCUUCGGGUCGUAAACCCCUUUUGCGAGGGAAGAAGUACUGGACGGUACCUCGCGAAUAAGACACGGCUAACUACGUGCCAGCAGCCGC